rnacentral:rRNA from 3 species
UACGGAGGGUGCAAGCGUUAUCCGGAUUCACUGGGUUUAAAGGGUGCGUAGGUGGGCAGGUAAGUCAGUGGUGAAAUCUCCGGGCUUAACCCGGAAACUGCCAUUGAUACUAUCUGUCUUGAAUACCCUGGAGGUGAGCGGAAUAUGUCAUGUAGCGGUGAAAUGCUUAGAUAUGACAUAGAACACCCAUUGCGAAGGCAGCUCACUACGGGAAUAUUGACACUGAGGCACGAAAGCGUGGGGAUCAAACAGG